UCUUCUUCUUUUAUCUUCGGUUUCUUCUCUCUACACUUCUUUUCUUUUCCUCUCCUGCUACUAACCAAAAAAAUCCAGAGAGGAGCCAAAAAUCAGAGAGAAAUUGAGAGACAUCCAAGAUCAACUACUCUAGAUUGAUUGAAACUAGAAACUGAUUUAGAGUUUGUAAACCUAAAGUGAUUGAAAACCCACUUUACAGAAGUACAGAAAAAAAAAUCAACUCUUAGAAGAAGAAGAUUGAAUUCGUGGAAUCAAUUUCCUAGAAGUUCUAUAAGAAGAAGAUGGAAGUACAAAUAUUUGAAGAUUCAGAAUGGUGCAAGUAGGUGACAAAGGUUGGAUGAAUGAAGAAGAUAGGUUUAGUGACGUCUAUAAAAAAGGGAACAAAGUAAGUGAGGUUUAUGAAAGGAACAAAGCAAAAGGAAAGCAUCCCAGCACUAGUAAUGUGAUUUCAGAUGAACUUGAGGAGGUGUUUGGAAAAAAAACAAAAUGGUGGUAUUCGUGGCUACUCAUCUCAUAUGUCAAAGAAGCAAGUUGAAAUGGCAGCAAUUGGAGCUGCUGCCCUUCACCAAAGAGAUGACGAAAAUGCACUUAAACUAAGCAAAAUUGAAGUUGAAUUGGGUCCUUGGGCAGCGCAGUGAAGGUAAAUUUUAACUUGUUGUUCGUGAAGUAGCAUUGAUGUGUUCUCAAAGUUGUUGUAGAUAGUGAUAAAAGGGUUGUUUUAAGACUUGUGAAGGCAAUGAAUUUUAGACUUAAUAAAAAUUUAAAAACAAAGAAAACUUGUU